UUGAUUCGACCCUUUUAUAAGGUCUCUUUGCCUAGAGAAAACUCGUAUACAGAGUAUCCUAUAUGAAGACAUCUCGAAAAAUAUUAAAUUUUUUCGGAGUUUUCGAUAAUUUACGAAACAGACAUUCCAGAAACCGUUAUUUUUUACCGCCGUUAGUUCGUCGAUACAUUCCGCUUUUGAGGUUCGGGUGAGGGGGUGAGUAGUGGACCGGUAUUUAAAUGCUGCGUGCCGCGCUGUCACACAAAUGAUGCCCCACUACUCUUCCCGUACCCAAACAAAGAAAUCAAAUGCUCGUCAACCGGUCCACGGAAAUUAAAAAU